rnacentral:lncRNA from 1 species
AUGAAAAUCAGCCCAUUGAUUUGCCAUUAUGAGUAGAAACUCACCCUUAUGGGCAGAAAAAAAGACUUCACAUAGCAGCCAGUGUACAUACAACAGCCCUGGGUUCCUGCCCAGUUAAAAAUGAACAUCCAACUGUGGGCUGCAGAGAUAAGAAAAGGAAGUGAAGAAGUGUCUUAGGAACGGUGGCAUGAAGGGGGAUGAACAGUUAUGCAGAACGAAGGACUGAGAGGGUUUAUUGACAACUGGAAGUCUGAGGUGUUAAAAGUAAUUCCAACCAAUGUUAGCGUUUAGAUGCUGACAAAUAAAAUUUAUAAAUGACUUUUUAAACUGCUUCCUCGAGCAACAAGAGCUGUUAUUGUCACAUCGAUUUUGAAAUUAAAUGUUAUGGAAUUUCCUUGCUUUAAUGAGAAGGCAGAUCCAACUGGUAAACAAAGUAAUGAUUAAGCAAUUAAAAGAGUAAAACUGAGAAAUAAAGUAACACUAAUCUUAAUCCUUAACCCAAAUAGGCAGGUUUUGCUGAUUUGCUUAAAAAAAAGAUGCAUGUUUAUCUUGAGGUGAAAGUAUUGAGAAGAGAUGCUCACUAGGAAUAAACUGCCCUCUGAUAAGAGGGGAAAAGUCAAUUAGUAAUGUCAUUUGUUUAAAACUCUGCCCGCACCUGGUUCUCAUUUGUCCUCCAGCUGAGAAACCAAAGACAACUUCUUUUUAUUGCUUGUGGUCAAACAGCAAGUUCAUUUCGCCAUGGGAUGAUCAAACGGCCAGCCUCCCCCAGCUUGGGAAGGUUUGCCUUUCACUUUCAACUUGUUCAAUCAUCAUUAACUCUGAAAAUUGUCACAUUCCAUUUGUGCAAUGAAAAUUUCAUCACUGGUGACCGUUUGGGUGAAGUUUUUGUAGGCGAGGCCCUAAAUCUUGUAGAGCACCUCACACAUUCUCAAGGUCAUUUGCCUUGUUUCCUUGUUUAAUGACAGUUGCCUAAGAUCCAGGAAUGAGUCUGUGACCUGACCUCAGCAACUCUGAAGACCCCUGUGUAUGUGGGUACAUGUUACCCUCUCUGAGACUGAGAGAGAUCACUGGGUGAUUUGCCACAUGGAUUUCGUCUGAGAAAAAUUAGGAUUCAUUUAUUUUAAUUGUGGU